CCCGCCCCGGCCCCGCCCCUAGCGCUAGCGCAGGCCACGCCCCCCUCGGCGCCCCGCUGCCCGGGUUGGAGGCUCCCACCCGCGGAAUACCGUGAUGGCUGGGGUGUCAUCCGCGGUGCUGAUCAAUGUUGGUCCUCACGGCUUCAGAAAGCCCCUGGCAGAGACGUGAGCUGGAUUCCCGCUCUGUAUUACAGGCUUCUGCAAUCCCGGCUUUCUGAGACCUGCCCGUUUUCCCUCCUGGAGGGGUUUCCCACUUGUGUUUGCUCUGCACUGUCCUGCAGUGCGGCUCAGGGUAAAUAAAUGGCCGCCUUGCCCUGC